rnacentral:rRNA from 1 species
GGGUAGUUUGACUGGGGCGGUCUCCUCCCAAAGAGUAACGGAGGAGCACGAAGGUUGGCUAAGCAUGGUCGGACAUCAUGCGGUUAGUGCAAAGGCAUAAGCCAGCUUGACUGCGAGAGUGACGGCUCGAGCAGGUACGAAAGUAGGUCUUAGUGAUCCGGUGGUUCUGAAUGGAAGGGCCAUCGCUCAACGGAUAAAAGGUACUCCGGGGAUAACAGGCUGAUACCGCCCAAGAGUUCAUAUCGACGGCGGUGUUUGGCACCUCGAUGUCGGCUCAUCACAUCCUGGGGCUGAAGUAGGUCCCAAGGGUACGGCUGUUCGCCGUUUAAAGUGGUACGCGAGCUGGGUUUAGAACGUCGUGAGACAGUUCGGUCCCUAUCUGCCGUGGGCGUUGGAAGAUUGAAAGGGGCUGCUCCUAGUACGAGAGGACCGGAGUGGACGCACCACUGGUGUUCGGGUUGUCAUGCCAAUG